rnacentral:misc_RNA from 1 species
CCGAGUUUACAACUCCCAAACCCCUGUGAACAUACCACUUGUUGCCUCGGCGGAUCAGCCCGCUCCCGGUAAAACGGGACGGCCCGCCAGAGGACCCCUAAACUCUGUUUCUAUAUGUAACUUCUGAGUAAACCAUAAUAAAUCA